rnacentral:lncRNA from 1 species
UUGGCAUUCUAUAUACUCAAUCUGAAACUUUACAACACUUCUUAUAAAUAAGCAUUAUUUUCCUCUUUGAGCCUCAGCUAACUUAAAGGUCCAAAGUAACACAAUCAAGUUAUAAUACUGACAUCUAUCUCCAUGGGAGGUGUUGACAUUUUGCUGAAACCUUCCAAGACGGGAACUCCUGCUGUGGAUAGGAGAUGCCAUUUCAUUGAAAAUGAGAAAUCAGAAGUCAAAUAUACUUUAUUCAUAAAAGCUGAACUCAAGACUUUUGGGAAAUAACGUGUUUAGUCCAAGCUUGGAAACUUUUGACCUCUGACUCUGUUACCAUUGUGGAAAGAAUUGUUCAAAUCCCUCAACUACCAGGGCAGACAAUCCAAGAAAAAGAAAACAUAUACAAGCUGCAAGAAAAAUAAAUUCCCAAUCAACAUUUUUUGCCA